AAAAACAAGUAUAGUUACAUUUAGCUUUUAAGCUUUUAUUUGGGGUACAUCUUUAAAGUUGGCUUAUUCGCACGACCACGGUUAUAUAUAAACUAUGAAUAUAAUACGCAUGUGCUAUUCAAAAAGAUUUAAUCAGAUAGCUUGUUUGAAAUAAACUGAUUUAUUUAAUUUAUUUUUGCUAUGAAUAUUGCAUAAUAAACCUAAAUCAUGUUUUUAGUUUCAGCUUAUGAAAUUAGUGAUGAAUAUUGAAAUUAAACAAGAAGAUAAGUUUGAUAACUUUGCUGAAUUUGAAAAUAAAUUGGUUUCUUGAUCGGCAUUUACGAACAUUUUGUAGACUAAAUGCAACAGCAAAACUGUUAUAUUGGCUAACAAGGACUUGAGUCAGAAUUCAAAACGUUUCGAUGAGAAGUUUAAAUUUAGAAAUGUAACAUAUUUAUGCAAGCAUGGAGGAGUUGAGAAAACAAAAAAGAAAGGACUUCGUCUAAAUCAAUGCUUUUUCAAAAUUGGAUGUAGUGCCAAACUUUAUAUUACUAUUAAUAAAGAUAAAACAAAACAAGUAGUACAGCAACUUCAGGCAUAACCACGAAGUCAGCAGAACUGCUUUCAUGCAUUACUCUGAACAACGCCGGUUAAGUGAAAUAGUAAAGGAAGAUUUUGGCAAAAUGUUUAAACUUGGUGUUAAAGCCUGUUUUUUAAAAGAAUAUUUGAAAAAUAAAUGAAUAAAAAUAGUAACAUCGAAAGAUUUAUUCAACAUAAAUAAAAAAAUUGAACUAGAACGCAAUUGUGAAAAAUCAAUCAAGGCUUUAUUGGUCGAAGAACUGAUGUCCUUCUGUGAGCCUUUCAUUUUCCAGAUGUACAAGGAUUACAAGACCCUAUUCUUGGAUCAAAACUUCAUUUUAGAGUGCAAUCUUGAAAGUUUGUUCAAAUUUUACAUAAUGGUGCAAUGCAUUGGCUUACCAUUUCAAAUUUUUUAAGUACCCAUCUUAGCUCAGUUGAUGUUUUUCAUUUCUUAUACUAUGAUUUAAGUGUUAGUGGAAAGAAGUAGAUACAAUUUCUAUUUUGAAAAUAAAGUCCAAAGAUUUCCAAAAACAAUCUGGUAGGCUUGAUUGUGGCCUUUUUGUAAUUGCAGCGGCAACAGAUUUAUGUUACAAUCAUGAUCCAAGCAUAAAAUGUUAUAAGCAAGAACUUAUGCGGGAUAAUUUGUUAAAAUGCUUCAGUGACAGUUACUUAACGCCAUUUCCUGUAGAGAUUAAUGAACAAAAAAGGAAAAAGCAACCUAAACCAAUUAAUUUACCACUAUAUUGCAUAUGUCGUCUUCCUGAUAAUAAUAAGAAAAAAUGGUUGAAUGCGACAAUUGCAAGGAGUGGUUUUAUGUUUUAUGCCUUUCCAUUCCAAAGAAUUUCGACAACUUUUUACAUUGGCAUUGUAGUUCAUGCAGCUAACUAAGUAUGUUGAAAUACCAAAGCUAAUAAAAUCGGUACCACGGUAUUAUGUAAGUUUUUCCUCUGUUUUGAGUUGGUGAAGAUAGUCUAGAUUAUCCGAGGUGAUUCAAGAUUAUCCGAGGUGAUGAUGAAAACGGUAUUUAAAAAAAGUUUUGCUAAUCAGAAUAUAAUUAUUACACAUU